GCUACGGUGUCCUAGUGGUUAGAGCGUUCGCCUCAGAAGCGGGAGGUUCGCAGGUUCAAACUCCGGCUGAAGUA